UCAUUGCGCCGACCUCAGAGCAGGUG
rnacentral:rRNA from 1 species